CCCAUGUUCUACCAACUUUGUGAUGAUCCGUUGAGCUGUUGUGUGUCCCUCCAAGUGCGAGACCAUGUUAGAGCAGUACGAGGAAGUGGUGGAGGUCUGGUACUUCCACCAUCAGGACCAGAAGCUGGAGGACUUUCUGUGCGAGAGGCAUGUUCUCGGAGCAGCCGAGAGAGAAUGUCUCAAUGAGGUGUGGAAGGGAGACCCCGCAAGCAGCAGAGGCGCCGAGGAGAACAGCGCAAAGACGAGACUUGCUGAUGAACUGUGACCAGCAGAAUAGCGGAGUGACGUUGAAAUGGCACAUCAUCGUAUAUUUUGUGCUGGCUCCGCCCCUUGGUGCACUUAUGACAUGCUCCCUCAACUAU